rnacentral:rRNA from 1 species
AACGCUAGCUACAGGCUUAACACAUGCAAGUCGAGGGGCAGCAUGGUCUUAGCUUGCUAAGGCCGAUGGCGACCGGCGCACGGGUGAGUAACACGUAUCCAACCUGCCGUCUACUCUUGGACAGCCUUCUGAAAGGAAGAUUAAUACAAGAUGGCAUCAUGAGUCCGCAUGUUCACAUGAUUAAAGGUAUUCCGGUAGACGAUGGGGAUGCGUUCCAUUAGAUAGUAGGCGGGGUAACGGCCCACCUAGUCUUCGAUGGAUAGGGGUUCUGAGAGGAAGGUCCCCCACAUUGGAACUGAGACACGGUCCAACUCCUACGGGAGGCAGCAGUGAGGAAUAUUGGUCAAUGGGCGAGAGCCUGAACCAGCCAAGUAGCGUGAAGGAUGACUGCCCUAUGGGUUGUAAACUUCUUUUAUAAAGGAAUAAAGUCGGGUAUGGAUACCCGUUUGCAUGUACUUUAUGAAUAAGGAUCGGCUAACUCCGUGCCAGCAGCCGCGGUAAUACGGAGGAUCCGAGCGUUAUCCGGAUUUAUUGGGUUUAAAGGGAGCGUAGAUGGAUGUUUAAGUCAGUUGUGAAAGUUUGCGGCUCAACCGUAAAAUUGCAGUUGAUACUGGAUAUCUUGAGUGCAGUUGAGGCAGGCGGAAUUCGUGGUGUAGCGGUGAAAUGCUUAGAUAUCACGAAGAACUCCGAUUGCGAAGGCAGCCUGCUAAGCUGCAACUGACAUUGAGGCUCGAAAGUGUGGGUAUCAAACAGGAUUAGAUACCCUGGUAGUCCACACGGUAAACGAUGAAUACUCGCUGUUUGCGAUAUACUGCAAGCGGCCAAGCGAAAGCGUUAAGUAUUCCACCUGGGGAGUACGCCGGCAACGGUGAAACUCAAAGGAAUUGACGGGGGCCCGCACAAGCGGAGGAACAUGUGGUUUAAUUCGAUGAUACGCGAGGAACCUUACCCGGGCUUAAAUUGCAGAUGAAUUACGGUGAAAGCCGUAAGCCGCAAGGCAUCUGUGAAGGUGCUGCAUGGUUGUCGUCAGCUCGUGCCGUGAGGUGUCGGCUUAAGUGCCAUAACGAGCGCAACCCUUGUUGUCAGUUACUAACAGGUUCCGCUGAGGACUCUGACAAGACUGCCAUCGUAAGAUGUGAGGAAGGUGGGGAUGACGUCAAAUCAGCACGGCCCUUACGUCCGGGGCUACACACGCGUUACAAUGGGGGGUACAGAGGGCCGCUACCACGCGAGUGGAUGCCAAUCCCCAAAACCUCUCUCAGUUCGGACUGGAGUCUGCAACCCGACUCCACGAAGCUGGAUUCGCUAGUAAUCGCGCAUCAGCCACGGCGCGGUGAAUACGUUCCCGGGCCUUGUACACACCGCCCGUCAAGCCAUGGGAGCCGGGGGUACCUGAAGUGCGUAACCGCGAGGAGCGCCCUAGGGUAAAACUGGUGACUGGGGCUAAGU